AUGCAGUUCCCGUUGCCUUUAGCAUUAAGCAAUUCCACUUCCGUGGACUGGUCGAUCGAUGUCGAUGCUCGCCUGCUUCUUCUCAGCUCCGAUAAGGCGAUAACUCCUCCUAACCUGCUCCGAUGGCGACCGCAGCGGCGAUGCGUGCUUAGGCUCAACCUAAGCAGAUCAUCGCACAAAUCGUUGGCAUUAUAUAUGCAAGCACACGGGCGUCCAGUCCAGGUCGAGCUACAGCUUUCCAUGGAGGCAAGAGUAAAACCACCCCAAGGCACACGACAUCAAAGAGGGCCAGCUCCAGGUCGGGUCGGCGGUGGCCACCAUCAUCUUGCUUCUCCACCACUUUCCGCCCAUACCUCGCCGGCCACCUGCACCUGGGGACAUCAAGGAAGGUGA
rnacentral:rRNA from 1 species